GGUGAACGCUGGCGGCGUGCCUAAUACAUGCAAGUCGAGCGAACGGACGAGAAGCUUGCUUCUCUGAUGUUAGCGGCGGACGGGUGAGUAACACGUGGAUAACCUACCUAUAAGACUGGGAUAACUUCGGGAAACCGGAGCUAAUACCGGAUAAUAUUUUGAACCGCAUGGUUCAAAAGUGAAAGACGGUCUUGCUGUCACUUAUAGAUGGAUCCGCGCUGCAUUAGCUAGUUGGUAAGGUAACGGCUUACCAAGGCAACGAUGCAUAGCCGACCUGAGAGGGUGAUCGGCCACACUGGAACUGAGACACGGUCCAGACUCCUACGGGAGGCAGCAGUAGGGAAUCUUCCGCAAUGGGCGAAAGCCUGACGGAGCAACGCCGCGUGAGUGAUGAAGGUCUUCGGAUCGUAAAACUCUGUUAUUAGUGAAGAACAUAUGUGUAAGUAACUGUGCACAUCUUGACGGUACCUAAUCAGAAAGCCACGGCUAACUACGUG
rnacentral:rRNA from 1 species